CUUGUAGGAAUGUAUAGCAAUAGCUAAUUGCACUAAAAAUAUUAGUGUAAAAUCGACUAUGUUGAAUAAAAUUCUGGGUAGGCUUUUGAUAAUGACCUUAUCUGUCCAUAAGUCUUGACCAAAUUACGUGCCAGCAGUCGCGGUAAUACGUAGAAAACAAGUGUUAUUCAUCUUUAAUAGGUUUAAAGGGUACCUAGACGGGAAAUAAAGCCUCGAAAAGGGACUAGUUUUCUAGAGUUUUAUGUGAAGGAGUAUUAGAGUACUAGAGGUGAAGAGAUGAUAUUCAGUCAUACCUUGAUGGCACAGGUCAAGGCGAAGGCAUCUUCUUAUGUAAAAACUGACGUUGAGGGACGAAGGCUUUGUGUCUCGAACAGGAUUAGAUACCCUAGUAGUCUAAGCAGAGAAUGAUGAAUGUCAUAGAUUAUAUGUAAUUUGAUCUAUAAAUGAAAGUGUAAGCAUUCCACCUCAAGAGUAAUUUGGCAACAUUGGAACUGAAAUCAUUAGACCGUUUCUGAAACCAGUAGUGAAGUAUGUUGUUUAAUUUGAUAAUCCGCAAAAAACCUUACCACUAUUUGAAUAGAUAUAUUUUAUCAUACAAGCGUUGCACGGCUGUCUUCAGUUAAUGUCGUGAGAUCAUGGUUAGUUCCAUUAAUUAACGUAAACCCUUACUUUAUUUUAAGAUAAAGUAGUUCACCGCUAGAUCGGAUGUGAUAGAAGGGAUCGAGACCAGUCAUCAUGACCUAAAUAUGGUGGGCU
rnacentral:rRNA from 1 species